ACUGGUCCAAGCCCCCAGCAAGAUCCUUAGCUCUCGGUGUGGUAAGGUAGAACCCGAUCCCGGUCUCCAGUUGUCUUAUCUUUUUCAUAUGUUUCGAACUUACUGCCUUUGUUCAGCAGAACCACCGGCACGGUGAUGAUGGUGAUGAGCGCAGCAAGCCCCAGCAGUCCCAGGAGCACCUUCCACGGUGUCUGCAGGCGGGUCAGAUCGUGUCCGGUUAGAGCGAGCCGUCGAGCCCCAGCGCAGUAGAGGUAGAGGGUCGGGGCCCGCCCUGCACCCUAGGCAGCGGGGUUUGCCGAUGGUCGUGCAUUGGAAAGGGGGCACAGUGGGCUGGGAGGGUUUGGAGCGCGGAGGUUGCCAAGAGCGGUCGCCCUUGAACUUUUGGCCUCCAAGCACACUAGCGUUUGCUUCUCUACGCCUCCUGAACGUCAGAAGCCAAGUGAGGGAGAAGCCAGGGUCUCGUGAAAUGCUCAGAACACAUGCAUAAAACUACAGCAGGGUUGGGCUGGAGUGAAAUCAGCAACGUACCAAAACCAUGAAACACAGAAACAACUGCUUCUUCCAGACGUUCGACAUACCACCCAGAAGGCAGUGUGGAGAAGAGGAGAGUGAAGAUUUUAAAGUCAGACAAGCCUGGGCAUUCACUUAAUGACUGGGUGGCCAUUGCUAAUAAUGCAAAGGGAUACGAAAACAGUACACAGAAUACAGGAAUAAUUCACAACUCAAAAUUAUGCAAAAGAGCUGAUGCUCUUCUUCAGUUUGUGUGCAUCUAAUAGACGGUCUUAAUAAAGAAGCUAAUGAGUAUCUGAUAACACCGUGCAGCGUAAACAUAAGGAGGAACCUAACAGGCUCACUAAUCAUGGAACAAAUCUUUUUCUGUGGACAACCAGAAAAUGCAAAAUCAUAGAACGACUGCACCUGGACUAGAGGAAAAGAAUUCCUGCUCUCUUAUUAAUUCCAAGAAGAGUGGUCCUGCCAUUGCCACCAGCCAUGUGAAAUCUGUGGUGAAGAAUUGAGAAUGAGGACAGGUAGCUACAGCCUGAAAUCAGGAGGAUGAAUGAGUGGAUGGAAUGACAGGAACCUGGUUACUGGGGAGUAUAGGUAGGACAGGUGACAAAUGACAGUGGGGGUGUCAGGAAGCCAGUGCAACUAUGGCAGCUCCACCCAGGAACUGGCUAGUAAGCUGCAGGAAGAACAUCAGAAGGGAAGAGGAAGAGCACAGAGUGAAGAAAUCAUGGAUAACCCUCCACAGGGCAGCAGCCCAAGCAAGGAGGCAAGAGGUUUAGAAUAAAUCAGUUCCAGUUUUGGACUAUGUACUGGAAGAUCAUACCCAAGUGUUGGCAGAGAGAAGAAAACAUCACCUUGUAAGUUAAGUUUAACCUACACAAGAGAUCAGAGCCCAGAGAUGAGAUGUGAGAGAAGAGUCACCGGUGCGCUUUACCAGGAGGGAUCCUGAAUAGUUCAGGAUCUAGUUACAGAAAUGGACCCCAGAAACUGCUGUGGCAAAUGGCCUUCUGAGAAGACACCAUGCUGUAUGAGCUACGUUAGCUAAGUCUCUAUUACCCAAUAACCUUCACCAGUACCCAGAUAAUACUUUCAGUCUGGCUUCUUGGUUCAAUGCUCAG